GUUAUUACAUUAAAAACAGGUACGUCGACUACGAGUAGGUAUUGUGAAUUCGUGCGUAACAGAAAGGGAGGGCAUUAUAAACCGCUAAGAUCGGCUGAAGUGCUUGUAUAGUUUGAAGAGAAUGAUGGUUGUAAUGUGCACGGAAACUUAUUAACUUUUGUGUGCUUUGAACACGCUCCACAAUAUGCUUAUCAUCUGCAGAUAUACCAAAGUCAAAAACUCCAGUUACACAACCCAAACGAGUAGUAGCGAUACUGAGCACAAAACAGCACAAAAAAAAUUAACUUCUGUCAGUGUAAUAUGUGAGCUCGAACUCUCAUAUCAAUUGCUGUUGCUGCUACUGCUCUCUGCUGCUGCUGCUACGACUAUUAACCCACAAGCAAGUGACUUGGAAUCGAUUGACAGUUUUGGAGAAAUCUACUUUGGCAGAAUGGUAAUUUAAAAUAUUUCGGAUUAAAAGUUAAUUCCAGGCGAUGCGAUGCAAAUAAACGCAAAACCUAUUGAAACUAUUUUUGAAAUUGGCUUUUCGAAGAAUUGCUUUUCGUAACGAAAAUAACGAGGAAAAACUUAUUUCUAGAAAUAAUUAAUUUCGAAAUUUUUAAGGGAAAAGCAUUAGAAUUGACAGAGUUCUUGGAACACGGAUUUGAACUGUGGAAUUCAUCGUAAAUCAACAUGAAAAUUGAUUCGCAAAAAAAGUAUCUAUAGUCAUUAGGUUAUAAAAAAAAAGAGGUUACCUGGAAUUUUAACGGGAGUUUAGAAAAUGGGUACUUUUAUAGAUUUCAAUGUUCUACGAUUUCAAUUUCCAAUUUCAACUUCGCCACCUUUUCUGUUCGUGCCACCAUAUAAGCAGUCCUGAGAGGCAUAGUAUUGAAAGGGAACAUGAUCCUGAUGGGGUAGCAUUAAUUCCUUAAAUUUCUUAUGUAGGUACUUAAUUUGAAAUUUAUUAACAAACAAAAAAAAAACAUAUCACACAUCCUCAUUUCUCUUGUCUGUGCUGCAAGGAAAGAUUUUCAAGGUCCAAAAGGGAAAAUCUUAUUAAUCUUUUUUUAAUGAUGAUAUUUGGGAAAUCCUACUGUGGGUAACUUGGCUACCUAUCAUGUAACAUUUGCAUAAAAUCUUCCCCGAAUAAAGAUCAAACGGACAAGAAUGACUGCAGCGUUGAAAACUAUGAACAUAUUGGCUGAUACAACACAAGAUAUUAAUACAACAAAGAAAGACAAAGCAGAGAAAGAACACACAACAGAAAGAACCCAUGACAACAGCCCCGAUCGGAAUAAUAAAAAAUUAUGCUUAAAUGUUUAAAAAAAAAAUAUCGUCGCUAUGCUGCCAAAACGCACUAAGUCAUAUUUUAAGGAUUUUUAGAUUUAAAUGCAAAACGGUUCAGAAUGAUGAUAUCGAUCUAGUAAAAUACCACACUAAGAAAUAUUUGGCGUACUUUAUGAAUUAUUUGAGGUAUAUUUUUGCACGAAGUCAGAAAAAAUAACUUUAAUACAGGCACAACGCACUAAGUUGACUUAGUGCUUUUUACCUGUAACGCAAAAAAAAUUAAAUUAGUACCAGUUUAUAGCAAGAGAAAGCAUUAAUGAGACUUAGUGCAUUUUUCCUGUCUUCAAAACAACAUUUUUAAAUUUGAAAAAUGACUUACAAAGUAUCUUGUGAGGUAAAUGUAAGAAAAAAGCGGUCAAAUGUAAAUAGAUUAAUACAAAUUAUAAGUUUAUCAGCGAGUAAAGACGACUUGAAUUUUCUAUAUGAAUCUUAAUAACCUUUUAAAAAUGAAUUAGAAUUCUCGUUCUUAACUGGCUUCAAAUUAAAUGUUUUCGAUACGAAAAAAAUAAACCGGGAAUACUUCAAACUUAAUAUGAAUUUGACCACAAUUUUCGAAACUUGAACAUUUUUAAGAAUUUUCGAAGAGGGAGAAAUACUGUUCCUAAUUAUCUGCCGGUAAAAAAAUGGCCAAGACUGUACAGGGUGCACCGAACCUCUUAAAUUAGAACAACUAGGAGAAAGACCUGAUUGAUAUAUGAGGUGUUCAGAGUAAUAAUGGGUUAAGUCCAUUUGAAAUUUGUGCAUUAUUUUGAACUUUGAAAAGCCUUUUCUCAAGAACUAAAGGAACUUUUGAAAUAAAGGUUUCACAGAUUUCUUUCUUGUAUAUUAUUUUAUAUAGAACAAAACCCUUAAUUUUAAAGACCUUUAAAAAUCCGACUUAUGUAUAGAGAAGUGGACUUCACCCUUUAUUAUUCUGAACGCCUCAUUUGUAAGAAAGGUGUUAUUCCUGAAAUUUUUCAUUCUUGGUUUUCAUCAUUACCAUCAAAAUGUUAGACAAAAGAUUUCCUUCCAGAACUAGAUGUAUUAGAUGGAAGAGAUUAUUUUAAAUUGCUUCCAUUUUUAAAGCCUUCUUUUAAUAGUUACUUGUUUUUAAUUCUUCUACGUUGUAAAAUUUCUGAUUUAACUAGGUAUAAUUGAGAUUUUGUAUUUACUUUUGUGCUAUAAUGUUGUUUCCUUUAACUUCAUAUGCCAGAAAAGUAUUCAUUACGAACAAAUAAUUGCAAAUCAUUACAGGUAAAAGGCACUAAGUCAUGGCUUUUUCUACUUUUGUUCACAUAAUUAUCAUUUUUGUUAUUCAAAAACCAAAAAAGUUUUUGGAAACUAAUGUCAAAAUGUUGAGUUUGUGUUAAAAGUGAUUAUCUGACAAAUAACAGUUAACAUUGAAUUUUCACAAGAGAAAUAAUCUUAAAAAUCGAUUUACUCAAAACUAUGUUUUUUGACUUAGUGCGUUUUGGCAGCAUAGCGACGAUAUAUUGAUUUA